rnacentral:rRNA from 1 species
UUAGCNUUUCGGAAUAUUGGGCGUAAGAGCUCGUAGGCGGUUUGUCGCGUCUGCUGUGAAAUCCGGAGGCUCAACCUCCGGCCUGCAGUGGGUACGGGCAGACUAGAGUGCGGUAGGGGAGAUUGGAAUUCCUGGUGUAGCGGUGGAAUGCGCAGAUAUCAGGAGGAACACCGAUGGCGAAGGCAGAUCUCUGGGCCGUAACUGACGCUGAGGAGCGAAAGGGUGGGGAGCAAACAGGCUUAGAUACCCUGGUAGUCCACGCCAGG